rnacentral:rRNA from 1 species
GGCCCUACGGGGCGCAGCAGGCGCGAAAACUUUACAAUGCGAGAAAUCGUGAUAAGGGAACCCCGAGUGCCCGUAAAUUCGGGCUGUCCGCCAGUGCAAAAACCUGGCGAAGAAAGAGCCGGGCAAGACCGGUGCCAGCCGCCGCGGUAACACCGGCGGCUCGAGUGGUGGUCACUAUUACUGGGCUUAAAGCGUCCGUAGCUUGGUUGUUAAGUCUCUUGGGAAAUCCACCGGCUCAACCGAUGGGCGUCAGGAGAUACUGGCAACCUAGGGACCGGGAGAGGUUGGAGGUACUCCUAGGGUAGGGGUGAAAUCCUGUAAUCCUAGGGGGACCACCUGUGGCGAAGGCGUCCAACUGGAACGGGUCUGACGGUGAGGGACGAAACCUAGGGGAGCGAGCCGGAUUAGAUACCCGGGUAGUCCUAGGCGUAAAUGAUGCGAGUUAAGUGUGGGGGCAUCUACGAGAUGGCCCUGUGCUGUAGGGUAGCCGUUAAACUCGCUGCCUGGGGAGUACGGUCGCAAGGCUGAAACUUAAAGGAAUUGGCGGGGGAGCACCACAAGAGGUGGAGGCUGCGGUUCAAUUGGACUCAACGCCGGAAAACUCAUCGGG